GAUGAACGCUGGCGGCGUGCUUAACACAUGCAAGUCGAACGAGCUUUAUUACUACGAUCCCUUCGGGGUGACGGUUUUAAAGCGAGUGGCGGACGGGUGAGUAACGCGUGGAUAACCUGCCCUUGUCCAUCGGAUAACCCGUCGAAAGGCGGACUAACACGAUAUGCAGUCCACAGCAGGCAUCUAACGUGGACGAAAUGUGAAGGAGAAGGAUGGGGAUGCGUCUGAUUAGCUUGUUGGCGGGGUAACGGCCCACCAAGGCGACGAUCAGUAGGGGUUCUGAGAGGAAGGUCCCCCACAUUGGAACUGAGACACGGUCCAAACUCCUACGGGAGGCAGCAGUGAGGAAUAUUGGUCAAUGGGCGGAAGCCUGAACCAGCCAAGUAGCGUGAAGGACGACUGCCCUAUGGGUUGUAAACUUCUUUUAUGCGGGGAUAAAGUGAGCCACGUGUGGCUUAUUGCAGGUACCGUAUGAAUAAGGACCGGCUAAUUCCGUG
rnacentral:rRNA from 1 species